AUGGAGGAGACUGGGAGGGAGAGGAAGGCGGCGGGGCCGCCGUGGGCGCCGACCAAGUCCACGGUGUUCCGGUCCUACGCUGCUGCGGUAGUGGGCGACCGGGCGGAAGCGCCGUCCGCCCGGGGCAAUGGGGUUGCCGCCCGUUCAAGCAAUCUACGCGCCGUCAGGAAGAGGCCUAUUGUUGCAAGAUUGACCAGAGACAUCGUCCAAACUUUUGAAAAAUGCAAUCCCGAGUUUAAUUACGUAGAUUCACUAAAUCCCAAGCACUUCCUCACCAGUCCUGCAGUUCCUGUUCACAAUGAUGGCCUUGAUAAUGCAAAUUCUGACCUAAUCUUGUAUGUCAACUUGGAAUUGGUUAAUAAGAAGUCAGACCGGAGGUACAUUGUCGAAGAAAUGCUUGGCCAAGGUACCUUUGGGCAGGUUGCUAAAUGCUGGGAUGCAGAAACCAACAGUUAUGUUGCAGUGAAGGUUAUAAAAAACCAGCCUGCCUUUUAUCAGCAGGCUAUCAUGGAAGUCUCACUGUUGAGCAUGCUAAAUGAAAAUUUUGAUCCUGAUGAUCAGCACCACAUUGUCCGGAUGCUGGAUUUUUUUCCAUGGAAAAAUCAUUUGUGCAUCACAUUUGAAAUGCUUGGUCAUAACCUGUACGAGCUGUUGAAAAAGAACAACUUAAGAGGUUUGCAACUGCAAUUUGUCCGUACUUUCUCAAGACAGAUACUGGAUGCAUUGAUUGUCAUGAAAGGUGCUGGAAUUAUUCAUUGUGAUCUAAAACCGGAAAAUAUCCUCAUAACACCGAAAGUAAACUCAGCAGCUGGAGUUAAAGUAAUUGAUUUUGGAUCAGCGUGCAUGGAGGGUAAAACGAUUUACUCAUAUAUCCAGAGCCGUUAUUACAGGUCGCCUGAAGUGCUUCUUGGCUAUCCAUACACUACCGCCAUUGAUAUGUGGUCAUUUGGCUGCAUAGUUGCUGAACUUUAUAUAGGUCUACCUUUAUUUCCUGGAGCAUCAGAAUACGAUGUCCUUAGCCGUAUGAUUGAGAUUGUCGGUGGGCAACCACCAGAUGAUCUUCUUAGGGAGGCUAAAAACACCAGGAAGUUUUUUAAACAUGUUGGAAGCAUUUAUCCUGGUAAUGAAGCACAUAAUGGUCUUCGCAGUUCAUACAGAAUACUAACAGAAGACGAGGUUGAAGCAAGGGAUUCCAAGAAGCCAAAAAUAGGGAAAUGGUAUUUCCCUCGUGGGAGGCUUGACAGACUCAUAUUCGCGUACCCUUGGAAGAAUUUAAAUGAGGGUAAUCUGCCAGAGACUGAAAAGGAAGAUUGCUUAGCAUUGGUUGAUUUUUUGAGAGGACUUGUUGAGUUUGAUCCUAAUAAGCGAUGGUCACCAUUGCAGGCUUCAUAUCAUCCAUUCAUAACUGGUGAAGCCUUCACUGGUCCUUAUGAGCCUUUCCGGGAGACCCCCGUAAUUCCCGUUGGUCGUGCUGCAACAGUUGAUCACAAUCCUGGAGGAGGUCACUGGCUAGCGGCUGGCCUUUCCCCUCAGGUUGUUGGAAGCAUUAACAGAUCCCUACCAUUCAAUAACGUUUUUCCGCCAAAGAUGCCCUUUUCAUAUGGAAGCAGCUGCGGCAGCUUCGGUAGCCGUGGUAGCUUUAAUGAUAACGUAGGUCCUGCUAGCAGCUAUGGAAGCUAUGAUGUCAAUAACGUUAACAUGUAUCAUUCACCACUAGGCCCUUCUGGAUUCAAUUUACAGUCACAAGCUGGAGGAACAUUUCUAGGAUUUAGUCCAGAUAUUAGAAGAAGGCCUCAUCUCUCUCAUGGUGUUGGCAUUCGACUAAGUCCUGGUGGUCCAGGUCCUAUGUCUCUUGGGGCCAGUCCAUCACAAUUUACUCCUCCAAAUUCCCAAGCGCAAAUGCCAACUAGCGCUACUGCUAAGUAUGUUGCCACUUCUCCUGCAAGGGGCAGUCAUGGUUCCUCAUUAGGAAAAGCUGCUGUGGUAGGCCAAUACAAUAGGAGAAGGAAUCUUGGUCACCCUCCUAUGUCAAUGCCACCACAUGAGUAUACAUCUCAGCUAAUCCAGGGACCUCAUGGAGAUGGUGUCAGUUCAGCAUUUGCUCGAGGACAUUCUGGCUAUUCAUAUGGUGCACUUCCUAAUUCUGGUCAUUAUAAUUGGAGGCCCCAGAUAGGUGUUAGCACUGGUUUAUCCACAAACUCUUCUUCCAAUCAUGGUUAUGUUCAACCAUCUGGUUACAAUGAUUUCCGUCCUUUGCACUCAUCCAAUGUGCCAGCUGAUACAUCAACCUCCACUUCAUCAGUACCAGAUCCAGCUGAUUGGGAUCCCAACUAUAGCGAUGAGUCACUCCUGCAAGAAGAUAAUUCACUAUCAGCUGAGUUAGGCAGUCUUCACCUGAGAGAUGCAAGUGGUCGAACAAUCCAGUCUGGCAGAUUGCCCAAUAUCCAAAGCCAUGAUAUCGCAGGCUCGAAUCAAAGAAAUGACUUCCUAUUUCAUGCACCGUCUCUCAGAGAGAGUGGCCAUUCAACAGGCCACGUCAACUAUGAUAGUUACAACCAUGCCAAUUAUUCCCAGCGAAAUUUCCCUGGUCGUCACGGACAACCAUUUCAGCGGCACAACCAUAUGAGUUCCACCUCUAUACGCCCGACGGGGAAUCUCCAGAAUGUUCAAUCUGCCUGGUCCAAAUAUGGCAUGCCAGAUUCUACUUCGCCCCCUCGGAUGGUUGAAGGGAUGCCUUGGGGAGGAAGCGCUGGUCACUCCCUUGCAACAAGCGGGCUGCCGCCGUCCUUUGGGAGAAAGGAUUUCGGGAGGAUCUUCUAG
rnacentral:rRNA from 1 species